AACGAACGCUGGCGGCAUGCCUAACACAUGCAAGUCGAACGAGACCUUCGGGUCUAGUGGCGCACGGGUGCGUAACGCGUGGGAACCUGCCCUUAGGUUCGGAAUAACUCCCCGAAAGGGGUGCUAAUACCGGAUAAUGUCUUCGGACCAAAGAUUUAUCGCCUUUGGAUGGGCCCGCGUUGGAUUAGCUAGUUGGUAGGGUAAAAGCAUACCAAGGCGACGAUCCAUAGCUGGUCUGAGAGGAUGAUCAGCCACACUGGGACUGGGACACGGCCCAGACUCCUACGGGAGGCAGCAGUGGGGAAUAUUGGACAAUGGGCGAAGGCCUGAUCCAGCAAUGCCGCGUGAGUGAUGAAGGCCUUAGGGUUGUAAAGCUCUUUUACCCGGGAUGAUAAUGACAGUACCGGGAGAAUAAGCUCCGGCUAACUCCGUG
rnacentral:rRNA from 1 species